rnacentral:rRNA from 1 species
UACGGAAGGCAGCAGUGGGGAAUAUUGCACAAUGGGCGCAAGCCUGAUGCAGCCAUGCCGCGUGUAUGAAGAAGGCCUUCGAGUUGUAAAGUACUUUCAGUCGUGAGGAAGGUGUUAAGGUUAAUAACCUUAGCAAUUGACGUUAGCGACAGAAGAAGCACCGGCUAACUCCGUGCCAGCAGCCGCGGUAAUACGGAGGGUGCGAGCGUUAAUCGGAAUUACUGGGCGUAAAGGGCACGCAGGCGGUUAAUUAAGUUGGAUGUGAAAUCCCCGGGCUUAACCUGGGAAUGGCAUUCAAGACUGGUUAGCUAGAGUCUUGUAGAGGGGGUAGAAUUCCAUGUGUAGCGGUGAAAUGCGUAGAGAUGUGGAGGAAUACCGGUGGCGAAGGCGGCCCCUGGACAAGACUGACGCUCAUGUGCGAAAGCGUGGGGAGCGAAACAGGGAUUAGAUACC